CCGCGCGGAAGGAGGAAGGCAGGGAGGAGGGGAGUUCCAGAGGAGAACUCCCAUCUGCCUCAGCCUGCCACUGGACCAGGGAAACCACCCUCCAGGAAAAGGUAAGAACCUGGAGGGUGGCUAAAUGUAUGUCAGUAGGUCUGUGUGUGUAUGUCUGUGUGUGUGUGCCAGUAUGUCUGUGUGUGUGUGUGUGUCAGUAUGUCUGUGUGUAUGCCAGUAUGUCUGUGUGUGUGUGUGUGUAUGUAGGUAUGUCUCUGUGUGUGUGUGUACGUGUGUGUCAGUAUGUCUGCCAGGAUAUAUUUGUGUGUCAGUGUAUGUGUGUGUCAGUAUGUAUCUGUGAAUGUUUUAAUGUCUGUCUGUGUGUAUGUGCCAGUACGUCUGUCUGUGUGUAUGUCAGUAUGUCUGUGUGUGU
rnacentral:lncRNA from 1 species